rnacentral:rRNA from 1 species
GUCGAGCGGAUCUUUGAGAGCUUGCUCUCAAAGGUUAGCGGCGGACGGGUGAGUAACACGUGGGUAACCUGCCUGUAAGAUUGGGAUAACUCCGGGAAACCGGAGCUAAUACCGGAUAACAUUUUGAACCGCAUGGUUCGAAAUUGAAAGGUGGCUUUUGCUACCACUUACAGAUGGACCCGCGGCGCAUUAGCUAGUUGGUGAGGUAAUGGCUCACCAAGGCAACGAUGCGUAGCCGACCUGAGAGGGUGAUCGGCCACACUGGGACUGAGACACGGCCCAGACUCCUACGGGAGGCAGCAGUAGGGAAUCUUCCGCAAUGGACGAAAGUCUGACGGAGCAACGCCGCGUGAGUGAUGAAGGCCUUCGGGUCGUAAAGCUCUGUUGUUAGG